UCCCUGGUGGCUCAGAUGGUAAAGCAUCUGCCUACAAUGCAGGAGACCUGGGUUCAAUCCCUGGAUCGGGAA
rnacentral:tRNA from 1 species